AUCCUAUACAUAUCGCUGGUGUUACCCAAGACAUUGAACAGUGGGCUGUGCUGGGAUUUGUGCCGUCACAACUGUGGGGAGAAAUCACAGGCAGCCUCCCCCAAAAGAUAUGGAUCAAGUGAAUCAUCCAAGUUGGUAGCUCCGGGUCUGAGAAGUGAAGCC